rnacentral:rRNA from 1 species
AGCGAACGCUGGCGGCAGGCUUAACACAUGCAAGUCGAGCGGGCACUUCGGUGUCAGCGGCAGACGGGUGAGUAACACGUGGGAACGUGCCCUUCGGUUCGGAAUAACUCAGGGAAACUUGAGCUAAUACCGGAUACGCCCUUUGGGGAAGGUUACUGCGAGGAUCGCCCGCGUCUGAUUAGCUAGUUGGUGGGGUAAGUGGCCUACCAAGGCGACGAUCAGUAGCUGGUCUGAGAGGAUGAUCAGCCA